GGGAAGAUGGCUCAGUGGUAGAGCGCUGGCUUUGCAUGCCUGAGGCCCUGGGUUCGAUUCCUCAGCACCCCA
rnacentral:tRNA from 1 species